CUUCGGGGCUUCCUUUGCAUGGUAUAGUUGGUGAGGCUCUGGGGAAACCCACGAGUUCACAGAAGUCAAUAAGGGCUUCAGAUGAAUUAGCAAUUUGUGAUCAUAUUGGGUUAAAUUUUCUAGAUCUCAGAUUUUGCUUGAAAUAUAAGCCAAAGAAAUGAAAAAAGGUUUGGCUCAGAAAGGAUAACUUUGAUGAACAAAGAUCUAAUAUCCAGCAUUCCUGCUGGGUCUAGUUUUUGGAAGCGGUGACCCCAUUGGCUUCAGCAAAGCAAAUACCAUCCAAGUAGAACUGGCCUUAUUGAGAAGAGCAGAAUCUAACUUUCCUUUUUCUUUCCCAGCACACAUUUCCAGUAUUAUUUUAUAGAAUUCUUUUGGAAAUUAAAAAUAAAAAGGAUCAGGAUUCAUGUAUUAGGGAGGCUUCUUUUCCCAAUCUACUCUCAAAUCACACAGACAAAUAAACCUAAAGCUCACUCUAGUCACUUUUGACUGCCUAUUUUAAAGAAGCACAGCUCAGUAAAAGAGAGC
rnacentral:sRNA from 1 species